rfam:Marinobacter santoriniensis NKSG1 contig00058, whole genome shotgun sequence.
GGAAGGGCGACCGACCGUGGGGAGGAAGCGUGGAGCGUAAACCGUGAGCCGAUGAACAAGAAUCGGAUACGAGGCACUGCCGAGCAGGGCGAGCGGGCCAAAAGCCGCGAAGCUCUUGUGGCCAAGGCGAGGGGGUGUAAAUCCGGCGGUUGUGCGGUGAAGGAGUGUGCUC